CUUCCACCCGCGUUCCUCCUGUGCGCACGCGCUGCGUGUCACCGGCCGGAAGCGGCUGCCGGGAGCGGACGUCAAAUCCGUCUCUGCGUUUUGAGCUUUCCGUUUUGUACGUGAGCGUCUCCAGUCAACAGUCGCACACGCCCAGCGCCUGGGGGUCUCAACGCACGUUAGCGUCGCCUCCCCUGCGCCUCCCACCGCGGUUUGACGUCUCGAGACCCAUCUUGCCUGGGACAGAAGCGCAGAGGAGGCAAGUCCAGGAGUCAAGAAUGACUCUUUCUCAGUGUGUGUGUUGUAGGUGCACACGUGUGUGAGCAGGAGCCUGUGGUGUGUAUAAAACACCGUGUCAUUUCAGAAAUAAGUUUGAUAUUUAUUUCAACUUUGAAGGUAUGUCUGACAUGUUUUCCAUGGCCUUAAAUUUUUUUCUACACCAUCACCUAAAUGAGGUAACAGCAGUAUGAAUCCUGUGUGUGCACAUGUGCCUGUUGCAGACAAAUAUAUUUAUCUUUAUCCGGAUUUAAGUUUCAGCCAUUAACUUGUUUCAUAUUUUCUCCAUUAGGAAGCUCUCUGUCAACAGACUUUUACCGUGUGUCCAUUACAUUCCUGUGAGGCCCUGUGGGUUCCAUGCUAAAGCCUGACCACUUGUUUAGGGACAGGCUCUGCCAUUUAUUACCUGAUUGACUGAUGCAGGUUCCUUAGCGUGUGUGUGUGAGUUGGGUCCUGUGUAAGAUGGGAACCACUACUAAUUUAAUUGGAUGCUAUGUUCUUCUACAAGUAGGGUGAUG
rnacentral:lncRNA from 1 species